ACGCUCGACACCUACGGGGGGCAGCAGUGGGGAAUAUUGCACAAUGGAGGAAACUCUGAUGCAGCGAUGCCGCGUGAGUGAAGAAGGUUUUCGGAUUGUAAACCUCUGUCUUUGGGGACGAUAAUGACGGUACCCAAGGAGGAAGCUCCGGCUAACUACGUGCCGGCAGCCGCGGUAAUCUGAGCGGGCUGGCAAGGC
rnacentral:rRNA from 1 species